CUUAGCUGAAUGUCUGACAUUUACCAGCAUCAGUAACCCACAUGAGGGACAUCCACAAUUCAGAAAAUCUCUCAAAUCAUGUUCCACAACACCUCAACAGCAGAAGUUUCAAACCAUCAAACUCAGUCUAAGAGUCUGCGCUUGCGACCGCUCGCACUCCGCUCAUGUUUGUGGCUGAAUGCAAAUGAUCAUAAUUGAU